rnacentral:rRNA from 1 species
UACGAAGGGGGCUAGCGUUGUUCGGAAUUACUGGGCGUAAAGCGCACGUAGGCGGCUUUUUAAGUCAGAGGUGAAAUCCUGGAGCUCAACUCCAGAACUGCCUUUGAUACUGAAAAUCUUGAGUAUGGGAGAGGUGAGUGGAACUGCGAGUGUAGAGGUGAAAUUCGUAGAUAUUCGCAAGAACACCAGUGGCGAAGGCGGCUCACUGGCCCAUAACUGACGCUGAGGCACGAAAGCGUGGGGAGCAAACAGG